rnacentral:rRNA from 1 species
UACGUAGGGUGCGAGCGUUGUCCGGAUUUAUUGGGCGUAAAGGGCUCGUAGGCGGCGUGUCGCGUCGGGAGUGAAAGCCCGUUGCUUAACGGCGGGUUGGCUUUCGGUACGGGCAUGCUGGAGUGCGGCAGGGGAGACUGGAAUUCCUGGUGUAGCGGUGGAAUGCGCAGAUAUCAGGAGGAGCACCGGUGGCGAAGGCGGGUCUCUGGGCCGUUACUGACGCUGAGGAGCGAAAGCGUGGGGAGCGAACAGG